rnacentral:rRNA from 1 species
UACGUAGGUGACAAGCGUUGUCCGGAUUUACUGGGCGUAAAGAGCGCGCAGGCGGUCGAUCAAGUCGAGUGUGAAAGCCCCCGGCUCAACUGGGGAGGGUCAUUCGAUACUGAUCGACUCGAAGGCAGGAGAGGGUAGUGGAAUUCCCGGUGUAGUGGUGAAAUGCGUAGAUAUCGGGAGGAACACCAGUGCCGAAGGCGACUUCCUGGCCUGUUCUUGACGCUGAGGCGCGAAAGCUAGGGUAGCAAACGGG